rnacentral:rRNA from 1 species
GAUGAACGCUGGCGGCGUGCCUAAUACAUGCAAGUCGAGCGCAGCGGGGGCGGGUGAGUAACACGUAGUUAACCUCCUAUACGAAUGGGAUAACUUGGGGAAACCGGAGCUAAACCGGAUAUUUAUAGGUGGCUCCUCGAUGCAUUAGCUAGUUGUUAAGGUAACGGCUUACCAAGGCCACGAUGCAUAGCCGACCUGAGAGGGUGAUCGGCCACACUGGAACUGAGACACGGUCCAGACUCCUACGGGAGGCAGCAGUAGGGAAUCUUCCGCAAUGGGCGAAAGCCUGACGGAGCAACGCCGCGUGAGUGAUGAAGGUUUUCGGAUCGUAAAACUCUGUUAUUAGGGAAGCGGUACCUAAUCAGAAAGCCACGGCUAACUACGUGCCAGCAGCCGCGGUAAUUC